GAGAGAGAGAGAGAGAGAGAGAAGUGGUCUUCAACCGCAACAUAGAAAACUGUAGUAGCAGUUGAACUUAGAAAAUAAUGUAGAGAAAGACAAGCCAACAUAAAUUCUGCAUUUGAAAAAGGAGAAGAGAGCCAUGGCAUGUCAGUUCAUUGAUAGAUUUUUUAGAAAAUUAAGAAUAUCCCCCCACACUGAGUAAAUAUACACUUGUAUCGUCACUUCUUCAAAAGUGAUUAAGUAGUCCUUGGUUUACAGAAAUAUACAAUUUAGUCUUCUCAUUACACUUUAGUCCCUUCAAUUUUAAGUAAAAUAACUUUAAAUCCCUGACCUUUUAAACUUUUAGGGAUUAGAAGGUUGUAUCAUUUGAAAACCUAAUGACUAAAAUGAUGUUCAAAGUAAAAAAUCUGAAACUAAAGUAU
rnacentral:misc_RNA from 1 species